AACCCCUACGUUUAGUUGCUAACGCGUGAAGGCGAGCACUCUAGACGAACUGCCGUUGACAAAACGGAGGAAGGUGGGGAUGACGUCAAAUCAUCAUGCCCCCUUAUGUUCUGGGCUACACACGUGCUACAAUGGCCGGUACAGACGGACGCAAAGCCGCGAGGUGGAGCAAAUCCUAAAAAAGCCGGUCUCAGUUCGGAUUGCAGGCUGCAAUUCGCCUGCAUGAAGUCGGAAUCGCUAGUAAUCGCAGGUCAGCAUACUGCGGUGAAUACGUUCCCGGGCCUU
rnacentral:rRNA from 1 species